GAUGAACGCUAGCGAUAGGCUUAACACAUGCAAGUCGAGGGACCGGCGCACGGGUGCGUAACGCGUAUGCAACUUGCCUCACAGAGGGGGAUAACCCGUCGAAAGACGGACUAAUACCGCGUACUGUGAGAUAGGCAUGCGUCCCAUUAGCUAGUUGGUGAGGUAACGGCUAACCAAGGCAACGAUGGGUAGGGGAACUGAGAGGUUGAACCCCCGCACUGGUACUGAGACACGGACCAGACUCGUACGGGAGGCAGGAGGGAGGAAUAUUGGGCAAUGGGCGAGAGCCUGAACCAGCCAAGUCGCGGUAAGGAUGACUGGCUAUGGAAUGAAAACUUCUUGUGUAGGGGAAUAUGUACCCUACGAAUAAGCAUCGGCUAACUCCGUGCCAGCAGCCGCGGUAAUUC
rnacentral:rRNA from 1 species